ACUAACAUUGUAAAUUAUAUCCUUGUUUAGAAACCAUUACACAUCCUUAAAUAAUUCUUUGGCAGAAAUAUUUCUACUCAUAGAAUUGUUGAGUUGUUCUGCAGGAACAAAGACAUUCCUACCCAGGAGGAGGAUGGUGGUGUAUCCCGGACUGGUUGGAACCAGAAGGUUGAUGGUUAAGGAUUCCUGAAACACCACCCUGUUACCUCACCAGCAACGAAUCAGAAGAAGCAGGAUGAGGAAAAGCAUGGGAUUCGAGGUCAAACAACCCUGGAUUCCAAUUAAGCAUCUUGUAUCUACUGAGCACUUUGAUGAGCACAUGACUUCCCAUUGCUAAAAGAGAGUAUAGUUCGUGUGCUGACCUCAUGACAGAGGAGCUUCUUUCAUCUUCAUUUAACAGUUGAGGAAAUUGGAGCAGGGAGAAGUCAAGUAACCACCUUGCAAGAUAUCCCAACAGAAAGCAGGCGAGCCAAGAUUUGAACCAGAAACCCUGUCUCUGCAACCUGCUGUCAA